AGAGUUUGAUCCUGGCUCAGGACGAACGCUGGCGGCGUGCUUAACACAUGCAAGUCGAACGGAAAGGCCCUUCGGGGUACUCGAGUGGCGAACGGGUGAGUAACACGUGGGUGAUCUGCCCUGCACUUUGGGAUAAGCCUGGGAAACUGGGUCUAAUACCGAAUAUGACCAUGCGUCUCCUGGUGUGUGGUGGAAAGCUUUUGCGGUGUGGGAUGGGCCCGCGGCCUAUCAGCUUGUUGGUGGGGUAAUGGCCUACCAAGGCGACGACGGGUAGCCGGCCUGAGAGGGUGACCGGCCACACUGGGACUGAGAUACGGCCCAGACUCCUACGGGAGGCAGCAGUGGGGAAUAUUGCACAAUGGGCGCAAGCCUGAUGCAGCGACGCCGCGUGAGGGAUGACGGCCUUCGGGUUGUAAACCUCUUUCAGCACAGACGAAGCGCAAGUGACGGUAUGUGCAGAAGAAGGACCGGCCAACUACGUGCCAGCAGCCGCGGUAAUACGUAGGGUCCGAGCGUUGUCCGGAAUUACUGGGCGUAAAGAGCUCGUAGGUGGUUUGUCGCGUUGUUCGUGAAAACUCACAGCUUAACUGUGGGCGUGCGGGCGAUACGGGCAGACUUGAGUACUGCAGGGGAGACUGGAAUUCCUGGUGUAGCGGUGGAAUGCGCAGAUAUCAGGAGGAACACCGGUGGCGAAGGCGGGUCUCUGGGCAGUAACUGACGCUGAGGAGCGAAAGCGUGGGGAGCGAACAGGAUUAGAUACCCUGGUAGUCCAA
rnacentral:rRNA from 1 species